rnacentral:rRNA from 1 species
AAACCGGAGCUAAUACCGGAUAAUAUAUUGAACCGCAUGGUUCAAUAGUGAAAGACGGUUUUGCUGUCACUUAUAGAUGGAUCCGCGCCGCAUUAGCUAGUCGGUAAGGUAAUGGCUUACCAAGGCAACGAUGGGUAGCCGACCUGAGAGGGUGAUCGGCCACACUGGAACUGAGACACGGUCCAG